rnacentral:rRNA from 1 species
GAUGAACGCUGGCGGCGUGCCUAAUACAUGCAAGUCGAGCGAAGCGGGGACGGGGGAGUAACACGUGGAUAACCUCCUAUACGAAUGGGUUAACUGCGGGAAACCGGUGCUAAACGGGCUAUUUAUAGGUGGAUCCGGGCUGCAUUCGCGAGGUGGUAAGGUAACGGCGUACCAAGGCAACGAUGCAUAGCCGACCUGUGAGGGUGAUCGGCCACACUGGAACUGAGACACGGUCCAGACUCCUACGGGAGGCAGCAGUAGGGAAUCUUCCGCAAUGGGCGAAAGCCUGACGGAGCAACGCCGCGUGAGUGAAGAAGGUCUUCGGAUCGUAAAACUCUGUUAUUAGGGAAGCGGUACCUAAUCAGAAAGCCACGGCUAACUACGUGCCAGCAGCCGCGGUAAUAC